UCAUCCAGUUAAUUUGUAUUA
rnacentral:piRNA from 1 species